CGCGUAGGCGGUUUGGCAAGUCCGAAGUGGAAUCUCACGGCUCAACCGUGAAAUUGCUUUGGAAACUGCUUGACUUGAGUCAGCGAGGGGAUGACGGAAUUCCUGGUGUAGCAGUGAUAUGCGUAGAUAUCAGGAGGAAGGCCGGUGGCGAAGGCGGUCAUCUGGCGCUUGACUGACGCUGAGGCGCGAAAGCGUGGGGAGCAAACA
rnacentral:rRNA from 1 species